GUGUGGUUCGUCUGGAGAGACGUUAAACACUCAACGUCAGCCUGGAGAGGCGGUGGUGAGAAUACUCAUGAUCAGUCUGGAGAGGCGGUGUGAAUAAUACUCAUGAUCAACCUUUGAGGUGGAGUGGCAAGGCGGAAGCAUAGUGGAAGUACUCAUUUGGAAGUUGAGGUAGCGAAAGCUCAACUUGAGGUGGAGUUGGUGACUCCGGGAAUGGUACGACUAUGGAGGCUUUGGGAGUGUAUGCUCUAGUUGUGAGCAUAUGAAUUCUUCAUGAGGACGGAUGGUAUUCCGGGGUUUGAAGAAUGUAUGGGGUGGCUUGUGUGAUUACCUAAAAGACCAAAGGUGAUCGGAUGCAAGGUGAUCUUCAAGGAGGCGGGAGACGUUCCGUAGUUGAAGAUGGCUUGGUGAAGACUUGUGGAGCAACUUGGUGUAGAGUUGGAUGCAAGGGAAAAGAAAGGGGUGGUUGAUGGUUAAAGUGGCAUCAUCACCAAAUUAGAAGUCAAGGUGGAGAAAUGUUGAGAUUGUCUUCAAAUUUGUGGUCUGGAAGAACAGGGAAAUCGUGACACGAUUUU
rnacentral:lncRNA from 1 species